AUUGAACGCUGGCGGCAGGCCUAACACAUGCAAGUCGAGCGGCAGCGGGAAAGUAGCUUGCUACUUUUGCCGGCGAGCGGCGGACGGGUGAGUAAUGCCUGGGGAUCUGCCCAGUCGAGGGGGAUAACUACUGGAAACGGUAGCUAAUACCGCAUACGCCCUACGGGGGAAAGCAGGGGACCUUCGGGCCUUGCGCGAUUGGAUGAACCCAGGUGGGAUUAGCUAGUUGGUGAGGUAACGGCUCACCAAGGCGACGAUCCCUAGCUGGUCUGAGAGGAUGAACAGCCACACUGGAACUGAGACACGGUCCAGACUCCUACGGGAGGCAGCAGUGGGGAAUAAUGCACAAUGGGGGAAACCCUGAUGCAGCCAUGCCGCGUGUGUGAAGAAGGCCUUCGGGUUGUAAAGCACUUUCAGCGAGGAGGAAAGGUCAGUAGCUAAUAUCUGCUGGCUGUGACGUUACUCGCAGAAGAAGCACCGGCUAACUCCGUGCCAGCCGCCGCUGUAA
rnacentral:rRNA from 1 species